CCACGCAGUAAACGAUGAUAACUGGGCGUAUGCGAUAUACAGUAUGCUCCUAAGCGAAAGCGUUAAGUUAUCCACCUGGGGAGUACGCCGGCAACGGUGAAACUCAAAGGAAUUGACGGGGGCCCGCACAAGCGGAGGAACAUGUGGUUUAAUUCGAUGAUACGCGAGGAACCUUACCCGGGCUUGAAAUGUAGAUGACGGCAGGUGAAAGCUUGCUUUCCUUCGGGACAUCUAUGUAGGUGCUGCAUGGUUGU
rnacentral:rRNA from 1 species